UACGUAGGUGGCAAGCGUUGUCCGGAUUUAUUGGGUUUAAAGGGCGCGUAGGCGGCCCUGUAAGUCAGUGCUGAAAUAUCCCAGCUUAACUGGGAGGGUGGCAUUGAUACUGCGGGGCUAGAGUACAGAUGAGGUAGGCGGAAUUGACGGUGUAGCGGUGAAAUGCUUAGAUAUCGUCAAGAACACCUAUAGCGAAGGCAGCUUACUAGGCUGUAACUGACGCUGAGGCACGAAAGUGUGGGGAUCAAACAGG
rnacentral:rRNA from 1 species